CGGCAACAGCUCAAAUUUGAAAUCUGGCUCUCGGGCCCGAGUUGUAAUUUGUAGAGGAUACUUUUGAUGCGGUGCCUUCCGAGUUCCCUGGAACGGGACGCCAUAGAGGGUGAGAAUCCCGUC
rnacentral:rRNA from 1 species